GGAUUAGGGUCCUGGGGCCUGGUGUUUGGAUUCCUGAUUGACUGUGGGACUCUGUCUGGUGGGAAAUGGAGGCUCAAGGUGACACAGCCAGGAAACAUGUCUUCUAGACCCAAAUCCUGUGCUAAUGGCCUUGUCUGUCACACCACUACUAAUAAUGGCCCUCGUUUCUUGAGUCACUGUGGACUGUGGACCUCGAGGGCUGGAGUAGGAAAGAUGUGGAUAUAGGGGCAUGUACAAGGGGGCUGUUCCUCACAGCACGGAAUAGGAUGGCAAAGAACUAGAACACAGAGGCAAAACUUUGAAGUACCGAUUGGCGCAAUCACCACCAGCCGGUCUUUUUGUCUGAUGAGAAAACUGAGUGUCAAAGAGAUGAACUACCAGAGGCCACUGGGAGUCUAUCACGAGGGGAAUGACUGAGGAAGGUGGACUCUGCUUGCAAGGGAAUCCUCUGCAGCAUCAGAAGCAAUGAACCGUGUUUGUGUAUGGCGUCGUGGACAACACUCAGAUGCCCUCGAUGGAAAAUUGGAUUCAAUGCCAUUAAUAUAAGUUUGGAAACCCACAUAUAAAAUAACACUAAAUGUCUUUCUAGGGCACAGAAAAUUGAAACAUAUUUAUGGAAAUAGAUUAGAACAUACACUAGAGUGGAUGCUUAUGGGAGGAAGGCAAUGAGAUUGAAUCCAGUGGAGGAGAGAGGAAAAAUAAAAAGGCUGCUUCCUAUGGGCAACUGAUGUCAAAGUGUCACUAACUGAGGAAUAUGAACAAUAAAACUUGAUGCGCCAGAGGU